rnacentral:rRNA from 1 species
CCUAGGGGAGGCAGCAGUGGGGAAUAUUGCACAAUGGGCGCAAGCCUGAUGCAGCCAUGCCGCGUGUAUGAAGAAGGCCUUCGGGUUGUAAAGUACUUUCAGCGGGGAGGAAGGCGAUAAGGUUAAUAACCUUGUCGAUUGACGUUACCCGCAGAAGAAGCACCGGCUAACUCCGUGCCAGCAGCCGCGGUAAU